UCUUUCGUCUUUUCACAAUUUCAUGCAUACUUAUAAUUUAUACAAUUUUACAUUAUAUAUAAAGUUAUACAUAGUAAAUAUUUUGUUUUUCUUUUCACUACUCGUAUAUAAUCUUUGUUUUUGAUAUUCGCUUGAAUUAAUUCUAUUAGAUCAACUAUUGUUCAUUGCGUUUAAUAUUACUCACAAGCUUGCAGUUGUAAAAUCUAGUCUGAAUCUUUCAAUUAUGCUUUAUUUUCCUCGUUAUUUUCACUCUUGAAUCGAAUUAUUAAUGCCAUCUUUUAUCUGAACAUACUAUCCGUCUUCUCAAAAAUCAUUAGCUUUCGAUACUCGCAUCUGUUUAAUGCUUUCGAGUUGGUAUUACCGCGUGUUAUAAAAUGUUGACCGGCGGGUUCUUUGUGAUUUUGACAAAUUUAUCAUUUUAAUCGGACUUCAUUCCAGACACCUUGACGCCAAAGUUCACAGCCCUUAAUUUUGGAAUUAAACACGGAACUAUUUCAACUUUUUCAAAAUAAAUUUUACUCAGAUUUCUUAUUUUCUUCUACUAGAAGUAAUGUUUUGACAAUGAGCUAUAUGCAAGAAACUUGAAAAAACCAAAUAUGCCCCAUAAAUGUAGAAAUUAAAAAACAACAACAUCACAUCACCAUAUUGUGUAAUUCGGAGGGUUAAGAUGAAUUCUAUUUGAAUAUAAUAUGUACCCAACUAAAAAACCAACGGAAGACUAUUUUAAUAGAAUAUUUAUUUUUUUCUAACUUCUUUUUCUCUUUUUAUUUUGAGUUAAUCUAAAUUUGGAGUAAUGAGUAAUGACUAAGAUGUAUGUAAAAUACGUAUUUUAGGUUUGAACAAGAUGUUUGUUACCAAUCGGUCUUAAAAACAAGACGUAUAUAGUUAUACUAAUCACUUACUUUUUUAUAAAUUUUCUACUCAAUUACGGUACAUUUUUUAGUUGAAUGUGUAAUAAGGGAGAUAGCCUGUAAAUUCUUUGAAAUAACCAUGAUAUACACUGAUAUACGUAUAGAUAUAACAUGAACUUAAUUCUAAUUUACUCAGCAUUGGUAUCAGUUCUGUUCAUGUGUUGUUUUAAAAUUUCGCUCCAUUUUAUAUUUUACAAACAGAUGUAUAUGUUCAUUUUGUAAUUGUUGUUAUUAAUGAUAGUCCAAAUGUCUGGACUUUAUUUUAAUAAAACUUGCUUUAAGACUUUCUUAUUGAUUAUUACAAUUUGAUUGUGAUCACCGAGAUAUGAGGCUUAAUGAAAUAGACAGUCCCCGUCCGUCGAACCACACCUACAACUCUAAAGGUUUACAACCUUAGUGAGUAAUAUACCCAGCCAUUCCUCAACAACUAACCAAGGUUCAACUGCAAGGUCAGGUCAGGCGCCAAGAACGUACGCAUCUUACUUGAAUGCAUAGAACGAUUUCUUUGAGAGGAUCCUAGUGUGUUGGUUUAUUUAGGGUUAUCAUGUUUGUUCUUCUUUUUACCAGAUUUGCAAUCGGUGCCUGCGUUCGCUCUUGGUGCCUUUGUGACUACCUUUCAAACAGUAAUCCUGGGAAUUGACCACCUUCUGAUGUUGUUAAAUUCAAACCUAAUUCGUCA
rnacentral:lncRNA from 1 species